GGGAAUGUGGCUUAGUGGUAGAGUGCUUACCUAGCAUGCAGGAAGCUCUGGGUUCGAUUCCUCAGUACCA
rnacentral:tRNA from 1 species